GGUGAACGCUGGCGGUAGGCCUAACACAUGCAAGUCGAACGGCAGCACAGUAAGAGCUUGCUCUUACGGGUGGCGAGUGGCGGACGGGUGAGGAAUACAUCGGAAUCUACUUUUUCGUGGGGGAUAACGUAGGGAAACUUACGCUAAUACCGCAUACGACCUACGGGUGAAAGCAGGGGAUCUUCGGACCUUGCGCGAUUGAAUGAGCCGAUGUCGGAUUAGCUAGUUGGCGGGGUAAAGGCCCACCAAGGCGACGAUCCGUAGCUGGUCUGAGAGGAUGAUCAGCCACACUGGAACUGAGACACGGUCCAGACUUCUACGGGAGGCAGCAGUGGGGAAUAUUGGACAAUGGGCGCAAGCCUGAUCCAGCCAUACCGCGUGGGUGAAGAAGGCCUUCGGGUUGUAAAGCCCUUUUGUUGGAAAGAAAAGCAGCAGGUUAAUACCCCGCUGUUCUGACGGUACCCAAAGAAUAAGCACCGGCUAACUUCGUG
rnacentral:rRNA from 1 species